CAGUCGCCACGGGAAUACGUAGGUGGCAAGCGUUGUCCGGAAUUAUUGGGCGUAAAGGGCUCGCAGGCGGUUUCUUAAGUCUGAUGUGAAAGCCCCCGGCUCAACCGGGGAGGGUCAUUGGAAACUGGGAAACUUGAGUGCAGAAGAGGAGAGUGGAAUUCUACGUGUAGCGGUGAAAUGCGUAGAGAUGUGGAGGAACACCAGUGGCGAAGGCGACUCUCUGGUCUGUAACUGACGCCGAGGAGCGAAAGCGUGGGGAGCGAACAGGAUUAGAUACCCCCGUAGUCCCUGUCUCUUAUAC
rnacentral:rRNA from 1 species